rnacentral:rRNA from 1 species
GACGAACCGUCCUAACGUUGUUCGGAAUCACUGGGCUUAAAGGGCGGCGUAGGCGGGCUGCCGCGUCCGGGGUGAAAUCCCACGGCUCAACCGUGGAACUGCCCCGGAUACGGGCGGCCUCGAGGGGGGUAGGGGCAUCUGGAACUGUGAGUGGAGCGGUGAAAUGCGUUGAUAUUCACAGGAACUCCGGUGGCGAAGGCGAGGUGCUGGACCCCUCCUGACGCUGAGGCGCGAAAGCCAGGGGAGCAAACGGG